GUGCAGCCCAACCCCACGCUGAGCUGUUUCACAGCCGGCCCUGCCCCCUCUCCAAGAUGCUGUUUUGGCACAACCAGCCGGAGCAUCUAUGGCCCAGUCCUGGGGACCUAUACCCUGGGCCCCCCAGCAGCCUGCUCAGGGAGCCCCUGCCCUUGCCCUACUUGAAGCAGGAGGAGCUGCCCAACAUCCCUGGCACGGAGCUGCCCUGCCCCAUGUUCUAGUACGUGCUCUGUGCAGCCACCUCGCCAGCCGUGAAGCAGCAGGAGGAGACCCUCACCUACCUGAACCAGGUCCUAUGAGGUCCGGAUGCUCUGCAGCUCCAAGCCGUGUGAUGCCACCCAGUGCCCCCAGCUGCUGAAGAUGUGCCACUGUCCGUGGGAGUGAUAGAACCCCAAGUGCUGCUCUCACAACUCAACAUGGUGGAGUUUCACUGGGACCCAACAAAGAGGACAUCUCUCUUCCUGCAGUUCACACCUCGGAAGAAAGGUGGAGAGAAAGGCAUCCCUUUCCGCCUCCAGAUCGACACCUUCAGGCCCAGUGACAAGGGGCUGCCGCUAGACCACCUGCACUCAGCUGGCUGCCUCAUCAAGGUGUUUAAGCACAAAGGAGCGGAAACUGAAAAUGGACCGUGAGAAGAUGGAGAAACAGCCCCUGCAUGAGAGGGACAAGUAUCAGACCGCCUGCGAGAGCACUGUCUUCUUGGAGGUGUGUGUGUUGGGGCGAGAGCAGGAGGGGAGAGUUGGAGAAAAGAUCCUCACGGUACAGAUGGGGAAAUGGAGGCCUCCAGGGCUCUGACUGCUGCAAGCCCAUCACAGCCCCCUGGGGACUCCACCACUUCCUGCAAAGGACACUCUCUGCCCUGUCUGUGGUUGUUGAAGCUUCCAGGAGCUGACGCCCUCCAGGCUGCCUGUCCUACGCGGGCCAUCGCCACCUCCUUCCUUGUGUGCUCCCUCUGCCUGGCCCCCUCCUCCUCCUGCUGCUCCUCCUGGCCAGCUCCUCCAAGGCCCUUCCUCACUGCCCCAGGCCCGCCGGGUGGUUAACUUCUUCCUUCCUGUGGAAACCCAGUCCACUUGUCAGGCCCCUGGUCAGCUCUUAAUAUACAGGUGGAGAGAAGGGAGCAAUGACCAGCCUUGCUGUGUGUUUGCCUGCAGUGUUCGCCAUGGCCGGAGUCCCCUGCAAGGCCCCGGCCACCUCUCAGCUCUCUGGCUCUGACCUCUCCCCACUCCUGCAGGCUCUUGUCCCCAGAAAGGUGAGGCAGGAUGAGCACCUCCUGUCAGCCCUUUGGGGUGAGAGUGAAGAAAAGAGCUCCCAGCCCAGGCAUGGAGCAAAGGGCAGGGCUGGGGAUUGGUGGGGAAUUUGUGGGGUGAGGACAGGAGCAAGCUCUGUGUCCCAGGGCAGGCCUGGAGGAAGGGUGUUGGUGGAGGGAGACUGGCUGUAAUGCUCCGCAGAGUUCUUGAACCUUUGCUCCUCCUCAUAGGCUCUGUUCCUCACCACCAUUCGCUCUGGAUACCUUGGGGUGUAGCCCAGUUGAGGUGAGCCUUCCCCUUCCCACUCUCCACUGUCCCAAAGCCUUCUCCGCAGCUUCAUCUCAAGCUCCAGAAUGGAGUGGCCCUGCCCCCUGGUGGCCAGAUGUGAUAUGGCCAUAGAUUGUAACUUACCUGAUAAGACUGGGCAGGAAGAGCCUCCCUUCUCAGACUUGGGACCUCCCAAGGGAGGGGCUGUUUCCCUUUCUUGUUCUGUCCCUGGGUCCUGGUAUUACCUGGACCAUCCAUUUUAUACCUC
rnacentral:lncRNA from 1 species